rnacentral:rRNA from 1 species
GAUGAACGCUGGCGGCGUGCCUAAUACAUGCAAGUCGAGCGAACGGACGAGAAGCUUGCUUCUCUGAUGUUAGCGGCGGACGGGUGAGUAACACGUGGAUAACCUACCUAUAAGACUGGGAUAACUUCGGGAAACCGGAGCUAAUACCGGAUAAUAUUUUGAACCGCAUGGUUCAAAAGUGAAAGACGGUCUUGCUGUCACUUAUAGAUGGAUCCGCGCUGCAUUAGCUAGUUGGUAAGGUAACGGCUUACCAAGGCAACGAUGCAUAGCCGACCUGAGAGGGUGAUCGUCCACACUGGAACUGAGACACGGUCCAGACUCCUAUGGGAGGCAGCAGUAGGGAAUCUUCCGCAAUGGGCGAAAGCCUGACGGAGCAACGCCGCGUGAGUGAUGAAGGUCUUCGGAUCGUAAAACUCUGUUAUUAGGGAAGAACAUAUGUGUAAGUAACUGUGCACAUCUUGACGGUACCUAAUCAGAAAGCCACGGCUAACUACGUG